UUGUUGUCCAAAAACAGUUGGAGAUCCAAGUUUGGGAAACUCUGGUCUAGACCAGGCAUCCCCAAACUGCAGCCCUCCAGAUGUUUUGGCCUACAACUCCCAUGAUCCCUAGCUAACAGGACCAGUGGUUGGGGAAGAUGGGAAUUGUAGUCCAAAACAUCUGGAGGGCCAAAGUUUGGGGAUGCCUGGUCUAGACAAUACUAUGCUAGAUGGACCGUUGGUUUGACUCAGUAUAAGGAGGCCCCCUCUUUUCCUAUAUUUAUUGGGGGCUUUCAGAAUGGCUUGUCGAUGCUUUCUUGAAAGCCUCCAGGUAACCUGGGGAGUCAGGAUGCAAAACCUUUAAAUAAGAAAAGAAAGGUGUAGAUGGUUCUAUAGUUGUGUGGCUUAUUUUUUUUAGCUUGGCUGUGAAAGAGAGUGAUUAGGGUUUUAAUGACGAGAAGGGAAAAUAGUUCAGCGGCCACCUGUGCGGUCAAUAGUUGUGCUUCUCUUCCCAAGGGCAAAUUAAGGUUGGAGAGUUAUUCGAGACAUGCUGUCUAAUCCACACAAACUUUCUUUGCUGAGACAUGGCAUGUUAGGAACUGUGAAAAUUAACAUAGGGACGUAAAGGAGAGCCCUUUCAGAGCAGACCAAACACCCAUCUACUACAGUGUCCUCUUUCUCAGUGUGUCCAGCCAGAUGCCUUUUGGAAAACCCACAAGCAGGGCAUGGGGGCAAUAGCCUCCUCCUGCUUUUGUCCUACAGCCGCUUAGUAUUCAGAGGCAGGCUGUACCUGAAGGUGCUUCCAGAUGGGUCUUUGUCACGGAGUGGGUGGUCUUCAGGUAUGCACUUAUUUUUGCAGCCACCUCACAAUGUUGUGGGCAUCAGAAUGCCAGGCCAUAUACCCCACUGUAUAAACCAGAUUUUUCUCCUUCUGCAGACCAUCUUUUUUUAAAAAAAAAAACAUCCUGUUGCCAACAGCCCAUUUGCAGUAUCUCUGUGAGCAAUAUGUAAUGUUAAGCCCUCGAAUGGAAGCACCAUGAUUCAAGAGGCAGCAUUAAGCCAUUCCAGCUACUAGCCAUUAUUACGGUAAUAGUCUUAGCCUCGAUGAAAUUGUCUGUUAAAAAAAAUAGCAAAGAAAACCAGGAACUCUUUCUCCCUUAGAUCGAGGGAGGUUUGGGUUUUUUUUUCCCCAUGGAGGAGUAUUCUGUAAUGGGCCCAGUCAGAUGGGCGGGGUACAAAUAUUAUUAUUACAGUCAUACCUUGGAAGUUGAAUGGAAUCCAUUCUGGAAGUCUGUUUGACUUCCAAAACGUUCGGAAACCAAAGUGCGGCUUCUGAUUGGCUGCAGGAAGCUCCUGCAGCCAAUUGGAAGCCCUGUCGGACAGUCGGAUUCCAAAAAUAGUUUGCAAACCGGAACAGUCAGUUCCGGGUUUGCGGCAUUUGAGAGCCAAAACGUUAGAGAAAUAAGCUGUUCGAAAACCAAGGUACAACUGUAUUUUUUAUUUUAUUAUUAUUAUUAUUAUUAUUAUUAUUAUUAUUAUUAUUAUUAAUAUGUAAACCUCAAUUUACAGUCUGAAGAGGCACAGCCCAGACACAGGUUUGCCACCUCAAUGAAAGCUAAACAUCUUCUGUCCACACAGCUGUGGAGCUUGUCUAGCAAUCACCUGUGUGCCUUUUAAGGAACAUCUGGAUUUUAAAAAUCCGCACACUUGGUUUCCUAAACAAUGGGAGUGGUGUUGGGGUCACUCUAAUGACAUAAUUUCUUCCAGAUGUUCGGAGGGGAAUGGAGUUUGUUAAAGAUAAAACCGCACGGCAAAGAUUACAAACAGAAACACAACUGAAACGGCACAACUUAAGGACAGGGGUGGGAAACACCUUUCAGCCUGGGGGCCAUAUUCUCUUCUUGGCAACCUUCUGGGGGGCCACAUGCUGGGAGUUGGAGGAGCCAGAGCCAAAUGUGAGCAGAGCAAGGGGUAUAAAUUUUACCUUUGCACAGCAGGCUAGUUUCCACACGCACUUGGGCAUCUCUCUCUAUAUACUCUCCAUCCAGAUAAACAAGCUGGAAUACCAGAGUUCAAGGACACAUUCCAGCCAGGCCAAAACUCUCAGCGUACAAAGCCAGGACUGGUGAGGGGUGUGGCCUAUGGAGAGUUCAGAGGGCCACAUAGAGAGGCUUUGAGGGCCACAUCCAGACCCUGCUUCAGAACCUAGAAUCAUAGACUUGUAGAGCUAGGAGGGACCUCAAGUGACCUCUACUCCAACCCCCUGCAAUGCUGGCAUCUUUUGCCCAAUGGGGGGCUUGAACCCAUGACACUGAGAUUAAGAUUCUGAUUCUCUAGCGACUGAGCUAUCCCAAGGAAUACAUGUGAGACUAAGGAAGAAGCAGCUGAAAGGCUCUUUCACUCUCUGGGCUGGCUGUUAAGCAGGAAGGCUGGCAAGUGGUAGACAUCUGGCCACUUGGCUGAGGUCUAUCUGCUGCCACCCUCUUUGUGUUUUUUUCCCUUAGUGUACCUGAAAUCAGUUCUAGUGGGAUACAUUGCAGUUUGCUUUGGCAUGAAACUGGGUGGAGAGCCAGGUGUUGGUGGAUGCCAGCUUCCAUCAGCUGCAGCCAGCAUGGGCAAUGGUCAGGGAGGCUGGGAGCUAUUGCCCAACAUCUGGGGGGUCAUAGGUUCCCCAUUGUUGGGUGGUAGAAUUUAAACCUGUGUGCUCACUGGGUUUAAAGGCAGGCUUUGGCCAUAAUGCAUUAUUGCCUGAAAUUAAGGAGGUAGUGCUCUUAAGAUUGUCGCAGUGUAAAUUUAAACGAGAUAUUAAGAAAAAGUACAAGAAAGUGGAACAAGUUCCUUUGGGGGAGCAGUGGGAUCUUCUGUGGAGGUUUUAAUGUGUUCACAUUAUACACCAGCAAACUCUAAAGAAAACCACUAGCAUAUAAUUAUCGUGCAGAACAUCCAUACGAAUAAGCUGUGAUUUUGGAUGACUAAUCUUGUCUGUAUGUUAAAUUCCCAUUUGAGUGAAAAGCCCAUUCCACUAAUAUAAUGGGGAAAUUCAAGAGUCUUGUCAACCACUUGAAACUUUUAAAGAAUUAAACAUUUUAAUAGGAUGAAUUCUAUGCUUUAAAAAAAACCCUCCAAUUGAUUGAUUAACUGAGGCUGCAAUCCUUAAAUGCAAUGGGACCUCUGAGUAAACAGGCAUAUGAUUUUGUCCUGUUUUGUCCUUUCCUAUAAGUCCAUAAAAGUUAUAAGCGUACAAAUACACACACACACACACACACACACACACACAGAGAGAGAGAGAGAGAGAGAGAGAGAGAGAGAGAGAGAGAGAGAGAGAGAGAGAGAGAGAAUGGAUGGUAAGCUCUGUCCCUCCUGCUGCAGCUCACAUUAUUUCUCUGCUGGGUUAAACAAUAGGACAGAAUGCCCCCUCCCUCCUUCUCCACUAGCCCAUUCACUCAAAUGCAUUUCCUUCCAUGUGCUCAACUGCACGCAACCCAUUUUUCCUUGUGGUUACCAGGCUUGUGCUUAUGUACAAGGCUACAUCAGUGGCUACCAGCCACAAUGGUUAUGUUCUGCCUCUACUGUCAGAAGUAGCGUGCAGAUUGCAAGUGAGGAGCGUGCUGUUGCCCUCAAAAGUUCUGCCUGCGGGCUUCCCUGGUUGGUUGACAGUUAAUUGGUUGACAAUUAAUCAACCAAAGCAACUGCUUAGGACGUGUUUAUUUGCCUGUUUCUUUUUUCAAAAGAGGCUGGUUUUCUGGGCAAGUGCCUGCUCAAAGCGACUUACAAAUCAAAAGAUAAGAAGGAAAACUAGACAACAUUUUAAGACUCAAAAUGGCCGCUAAACAAUGUUCCACAGAGCUGGAAAGAGAGUGGUUUAGUCAGCCCAUCACCCGGUUAUUAAACAUAAUGCCUUGAAGGCUGUAAAAAGAAGCUUUCAGGGUCACCAGAAAGGCCUGCAAUGUAGAAAUUUGACGUCCAACGGAAGGUGAUUCCAUAGCCGUGGGGCCACUUAGAGAAGGUCCUGUCUCUUGUGGUUAUCCCCCUUGCUGUCCUAUGGGGUAUACUAAGGGGAUGGACCACAAUAUGGACUCAACAGCACUUUCCAUUGGGCCUGGAAACCCACCAGUAGGCACUGCAGUUGGUAUAAAACAGAUGCUGACCAUGUUGUCCCCAAUAGGCCUCCGACUGUAUCUGAACUGCAUUUAAGUGCAGCCCCACUUAGAGCGCAUUGCACCAGUCUAGUCUAGCCCGCAUGUGACCAGGACACUGAUCACUGUGGUAAAGCCAGCGCCGCCGCCCCCCCACCGGUAGAAGUGCUGUUGGCGUACCAGCUGAAGCUGCUAAAAGAUAGUCCUUGUCACCGAUGCUUCCCCAGUCAGCGCAGAAUCCAGGAGAUUCUGCCACCCCAUUGCAGAGUAACUGCAAAAAGACCUUCUGGAGCUGCAGAUCUCCCUAGGCACAGGGCUUCCAUCUUGUUUGGAUUCAACCUCAGUUUGUUUGCCCACAUCCGUCCCAGAACAGCCUCCGGGCUCUGGUUUAGGAUUCCGCUGGUCUUUCUGAGAUCUGAGGGUGGAAAGAAAGGCAGAGCUGAGCAUCAUCAGCAGACUUGAAAACCAGGCUGUGCACUUGUCAUACCCAUUGGUCCACGUAGCUCAGGAUUGCCCACACUGACUGGCAAGGGCUCUCCAGGGUUUCAGGAGGGGUGGGGUGGGGUCUCUCUCCCAGUUCUACCUGGGGUUCCCAGGGAUGGAACUAGUGACCUUCUGCAUGCAAAGCAGAUGCUCUACCACUGAGCUAUAGCCCUUCCCCAGGUGAAAUCCCUAGUGCCUCCCAGAUCUCAUUGGAGCACAGUUCCUAGCAUUUUCAGCUACUGUGGCCAGUGGUCAGGGAUGUUGGGAGUGGGUAGUUCAGUGCCAUCAGUUGGGAGCCAGGAUCCCCGCCCCAGCCCUCCUGGGAGCGAGAAACCACUCCCUGCUUUCCCCGCUCCAUUUGCCGUGGGACUGAAUGCAAAAGGAGACUCACUACGUUCUCCUCCUUGGAGUAUGGAAGGCAACCUUCCCUUAGCACACAACUGAGUGGGCCUCUCCAGAAGGAAGGGUGGGGAACCUCCCGGGGUCCAGCUGGGGUCUGGUUUGGCCUGGUUUUGGAACCCACAUUAAUAAUAAUAAUAAUAAUAAUAAUAAUAAUAAUAAUAAUAAUAAUAAUUUAUUUAUACCCCGCCCAUCUGGCCGGGUUCCCCCAGCCACUCUGGGCGGCUUCCAACAAAACAUUAAAAUACAGAAAUCAAACAUUAAAAGCUUCCCUAAACAGGGCUGCCUUGAGAUGCCUUCUAAAGGUCUGGUAAUUGUUGCUCUCUUUGACCUCUGGUGGGAGGGCAUUCCACAGGGUGGGUGCCACUACCGAGAAGGCCCUCUGCCUAGUUCUCUGUAACUUGGCGAGGGAACCACCAGAAGGCCCUCAGCGCUGGACCUCAGUGUCCGGGCAGAAAGAUGGGGGUGGAGACGCUCUUUCAGGUAUACUGGACCGAGGCCGUUUAGGGCUUUAAAGGUCAACACCAACACUUUGGAUUGUGCUCGGAAACGUACUGGGAGCCAAUGUAGGUCUUUCAGGACCGGUGUUAUGUGGUCUCGGCGGCCGCUCCCAGUCACCAGUCUAGCUGCCGCAUUCUGGGUUAGUCGUAGUUUUCGGGUCACCUUCAAAGGUAGCCCCACGUAGAGCGCAUUGCAGUAGUCCAAGCGAGAGAUAACUAGAGCAUGCACCACUCUGGCAAGACAGUCCGCGGGCAGGUAGGGACUCAGCCUGCAUACCAGAUGGAGCUGAUAAACAGCUGCCCUGAACACAGAAUUGACCUGUGCCUCCAUGGACAGCUGUGAGUCCAAAAUGACUCCCAGGCUGCGCACCUGGUCCUUCAGGGGCACAGUUACCCCAUUCAGGACCAGGGAGUCCUCCACACCCGCCCACCUCCUGUCCCCCACAAACAGUACCUCUAUCUUGUCAGGAUUCAAUCUCAAUCUGUUAGCCAAUUUAGGGGUUAGGUGGUUAAGUGAAUGAUGCUAACUUGUGUCUAUGGCCAACCAUGCCCGUAGAGCAUUUCUCCCAAGAGUGUUUAUUUUUUCCAGCUGCGAAAGACCAUUUUGCUGGCAUGCAGCCACACGUCUCGUAAGAAUCCCGUGUCUUAAUUCUGCAAAGACCCCGCUCCCCUCCCCUCCCCCGCAUCAAAAUAAAUGGCUGGCUUGCAUAUUUUUAAAGAUACAUGGCAAAGGUAUUAUAUGACACUGGUUCACCUCUUGCAUGUGCAAAAACUACAAAGAGUCCUGUGGCCCUUUAAAGACUUCACAUAUUUAUUAUCUUGCAAACGGCUAUUUCUUCUUCUUUUGCCUCUGUCUUCCCUUGCAAUAAACAAAUAUCUAAUUAAAGCGUUUCAAGAUGAUCUGUAGCCGUUCUUGGCAGAAGGAAUGCCAAGCGCAGCUAUGCAUAGUGGCGUAAGGAGCAAAGAUUCUAAUUAAGCAUUGCAUUUAUAGCGCCGGUGGAAUGCAGCAUGAGGUUUAGCUGUUCCUGUUUGCUCUUGAAGGAACCCUUGAAAUAUAAUGGUUGCAAUGACUUUUGAAGGGCGCUUUCAGCCUUGCUCCUUCCCCUGUAAAAAGUCAAUGCAGCUCUCCAGUGGCAGAGCACUUUUUGCGUGUGCUCCAGCCAGUUCGGUUAGAGUGCUGCACUAGGAACCAGGAGACCAGGGUUCGAAUCCCCACUCGGGUAUGAAACAGUGCAUAUUGGGGGAACUUGGGCCAGUCUCUCUCUCUCUCUCUUCUCUCUUCUCUCUUCUCUCUCUCUCUCUCUCUCUCUCUCUCUCUCUCUCUCUCUCUCUCUCUCUCUCUCUCUCUCUCUCUCUCCCUUGCUGCCUUGCUGUUGUGAUGAUGAAACAAGGUGUGUGUGGGAAACUAGUAUGCUACUUUGAGCUUCCUUGGAGGAAAGGCAGGACAUGAGUGUAAUAAAUACAGUAAAAUCAACUGGCUUUAUUUGGAAAGAUUUACAACCUACUUAAUGGCAAAGCUCUCCAAGCAGUGGAGUUGAUUUCAAUAGUAGUUGAAAUGCAGAUAAAAUGCACAAAGCUGUUUAAAAUCAAGAAACAUACAGUGUUACCUCUGUUUACGAACACAAUUGGUUCCGGAAGUCUGUACUUAACCUGAAGCGUACUUAACCUGAAGCGAACUUUCCCAUUGAAAGUAAUGGAAAGUGGAUUAAUCCAUUCCAGACAGGUCCGCGGAGUACGGUACUUAAACCGAAAAUACUCAAAGCGGGGUGUACUUAAACCGAGGUAUGACUGUACAUUAAAAUAAUGAUCACUGAAAUGCAGAGGAUGUUUUUUUAAAAAAUAAAUAAGAGGCAAUUAAAUUAUAUGUCUGGGGGAGGCUCACUUAAAAAAAAAACAUUUUGGCAUAUUUUGGCAAGAGUACGGACCAUAGCUAAGGAAUUCCAAAGUAAAGGUGCUGCCACACCAAAAAGAUAAGACUCCUCAGAAAUGUGGAAUGAAUGUUAUGUGGCAAUCACAAAAAUAUGUGUUCUACAUAUCGAAGCGCCUGAAUCAACACAUGGGGCAAGUUGACCCUCUCAGAAAACUGAUCCAUAGAAUCAUAGAAUCAUAGAAUCAUAGAGUUGGAAGAGACUACAAGGGCUAUCCAGUCCAACCCCCUGCCAAGCAGGAAACACCAUCAAAGCAUUCUUGACAUAUGCCUGUCAAGCCUCUGCUUAAAGACCUCCAAAGAAGGAGACUCCACCACACUUCUUGGCAGCAAAUUCCACUGUCGAACAGCUCUUACUGUCAGGAAGUUCUUCCUAAUGUUUAGGUGGAAUCUUCUUUCUUGAUGUUUGAAUCCAUUGCUCCGUGUCCGCUUCUCUGGAGCAGCAGAAAACAACCUUUCACCCUCCUCUAUAUGACAUCCUUAUAUAUAUUUGAACAUAGCUAUCAUAUCACCCCUUAACCUUCUCUUCUCCAGGCUAAACAUACCCAGCUCCCUAAGCCGUUCCUCAUCCAUAGGUCCCUUGCUUAUGAAACUUGCAAAAAUCAAGAAAUGUUCAUACUCUCUCAGUUGUGGCAUUUGACUUAGCCGGACUUGACAGCUGCGAAGCUGGCAGGAAAGAGAUGGGUUAGUUUAUGAUGCCUAACCAGUCUCUCCAACUGGUAAUCAAGCUUCAGGGCUCCUGUUCACCCAUUACCACUGGCGCUGUUAUCAUGCCCUCUGUGUUCUCCUUCGACGACAGGCCUAAGAAAACCAGGGCUGUGUGUGCCAGGACCAUGAAUGGUAAAUAUAAUAGCCAUGGCUCCUGGCAAAUAAUGAUGGGAACUGUAGUUAUGGGUGCUGAGAGCCGUUAGGAGACGCCCAAUUUCCCUUGCAGUGCUACAAUUCCCAGAGUAGUUUAAUGGUCAAUCCUUCUUCCUGGAAAACUAUAACUCCAUGAGGAGAACAGGAGUCUCCCAACAGCUCUUGACACCCCCUUAAUUUUUUAUUUUUUUUUUGAAUUUAUAUACCCGGAGGCCCUAUACCCUUAGCAAAGUACAGUUCCCACAAUUCUUUGCGGGGAGCGAUGACUGUUAAAGUGAUAACAAUAGUUCUGUAAAUGUUUGGUGCGGAUGCGGCCUUAUUCCGUUUGUUCUGCUUAUUUCAUUCUUUGGCGUGAAAACCCACAGUUCUGGCCAUGCUAGCUUUGACUGCCAAAGAAAGACGUGUUGGAAGCAAAUAGCUUCUGAUGGUUCCAUGGCAACCUGCUCUCCUUUUCUUACACGUGAAUUGCCAUCACCCUCACAAUGCGCUGUAACCAAGCCACAAUAUUUCACUGCUGUUACUCUCUGUGCACACAUUCCUUGGAGCAAAUUGUUUGUCGACUGCAGUGGAAGCUAGGCUGAUUUAGAGCAGCCUGAAAAACCAGCACACCAUCUUCUCCUCCUUCCCCCUUUAUUUCUUCUUCCUUUAUUUUGUAUUUCUUUUCCCCUUAGUGGAGGAAGCUUGUUUAAUUGCUCUCUUUGUGACCUGGACUCUCGGAGGAGCUGGUUCCAAAUGUUUUUCUCAUUGGCAGCCAGAGAUUUGUACAACGUGACCUCAUGCUAGGAAAGGGUGGAUCGCCUUAUAAUGUGGGAAACUCAGAGGGCCGCUGCAUCUCGGAAAUCUGUGCGACCAAAUCCCAAGCAAAGCUGUGCAUUAAAUGCUGGAAUGUGUUGGCGCCCGUCCAGGAGGUUGAGACGAGCCUGUUCCACAAACGCUAGCUAAUGCAGCCGUGCUAUACCUUAAAAUAGUAUCAGGCCUGGUUGACAAGAGAACUGGAGAGUGCUGUCGCUUACCUCAUUCUAGCACAAAUUCUUUCUCGACAAUGCAUUAAAUGGCUGGAGGCUUUUUCUCUCCCCCUUCCUCCUGCUCCCUUGGUUUGCAGGUGGUAUUUGCUCAAUGAUUUAAAAGCCCUGCAUUCAGCCUCUCUUCUGCCAUUUGUGGAUGACUGCUCCUUGCUAAAUAUGACUCUUUGUUUGAGGCUGG